CUGUCGUCUUGAGAGCGGCGGACGGGUGAGUAAUGCCUAGGAAUCUGCCUGGUAGUGGGGGAUAACGUUCGGAAACGGACGCUAAUACCGCAUACGUCCUACGGGAGAAAGCAGGGGACCUUCGGGCCUUGCGCUAUCAGAUGAGCCUAGGUCGGAUUAGCUAGUUGGUGAGGUAAUGGCUCACCAAGGCGACGAUCCGUAACUGGUCUGAGAGGAUGAUCAGUCACACUGGAACUGAGACACGGUCCAGACUCCUACGGGAGGCAGCAGUGGGGAAUAUUGGACAAUGGGCGAAAGCCUGAUCCAGCCAUGCCGCGUGUGUGAAGAAGGUCUUCGGAUUGUAAAGCACUUUAAGUUGGGAGGAAGGGCAGUUACCUAAUACGUGAUUGUUUUGACGUUACCGACAGAAUAAGCACCGGCUAACUCUGUGCCAGCAGCCGCGGUAAUACAGAGGGUGCAAGCGUUAAUCGGAAUUACUGGGCGUAAAGCGCGCGUAGGUGGUUUGUUAAGUUGGAUGUGAAAUCCCCGGGCUCAACCUGGGAACUGCAUUCAAAACUGACUGACUAGAGUGUGGUAGAGGGUGGUGGAAUUUCCUGUGUAGCGGUGAAAUGCGUAGAUAUAGGAAGGAACACCAGUGGCGAAGGCGACCACCUGGACCAACACUGACACUG
rnacentral:rRNA from 2 species